UGUUAAAAUUUUAUCCAUUAGUAUUGUUAAAAACUGAUGUAACUAAUGGAGUAUCCAAAUAGUAACACGUGGCGUGCCUCAUGCUGAUAUAUAGGGAUCAAUUUUUAAGAGUAAAAUGUGAUGAAAUCUUUAGCA
rfam:Gossypium raimondii Chr04_contig_1412, whole genome shotgun sequence.